rnacentral:tRNA from 1 species
UGCGAGAUGGCCGAGACCUAGGCGAAAGAUUGUAGCUCUUUCUACGGAGCAAUCAGAGCUUCUCUCGUAA